UCAUAAGUCACUAACAUGGCUUCCUCAAACUUCCUAGUGCUGCUUCUUUUUGCUCUAUUUGCCAUUCCUCAGGGUCUUGCCAAUUAUGAGAAGCCUCCGGUUUACCAACCACCGGUGUAUAAGCCACCAGUUGAGAAACCCCCGGUCUACAAACCCCCUGUAGAAAAGCCACCAGUAUAUAAGCCACCAGUAGAGAAGCCUCCAGUUUACAAACCACCGGUGUACAAGCCACCUGUGUACAAACCCCCAGUAGUGAAACCCCCAGUCUACAAACCUCCUGUUUACAAGCCACCGGUGUACAAGCCACCAGUUUACAAACCACCAGUAGAGAAGCCCCCAGUUUACAAGCCACCUGUAUACAAACCCCCAGUAGUGAAACCCCCAGUCUACAAACCUCCUGUUUACAAGCCACCAGUUGAGAAGCCUCCAGUUUACAAGCCACCAGUAGUGAAGCCACCUGUUUACAAGCCCCCAGUCUACAAGCCACCAGUAGUGAAGCCACCUGUAUACAAGCCUCCAGUCUACAAGCCACCCGUUUACAAGCCUCCAGUUGAGAAGCCUCCGGUCUACAAGCCACCUGUUUACAAGCCCCCAGUUGAGAAACCUCCAGUCUACAAGCCACCGGUUUACAAGCCUCCAGUCGAGAAGCCACCAGUUUACGGACCUCCUCACCACCCAUAGGACUCUCGGAUGCUUUUAAGUAAAUAAGUUAAAUAAGAGAUAUAUAAUGUUUCCAAAGCAAGGAUUAUAUAUUCUUGGAAUCUUCAUUUUAGUCUUUUGUUUACAAAUCCUAUUACCAAGAUAAGAAUGUGAAAGAAAAUGGUGCAUUUGUACUCCAAGUUAUGAAUAAGAACGUUGUGAUUUAGCACUUUUUAAUUUGUGUUGGUUGACUAAAUUGGACAUAGUAUAUAUAUACUCUACUUAAUACUCUGUCAUAUCAGUAAGGUGCAUGAAAGUUCAAUUUUCUGUAGUAGACAUAACGAAUAAUUAAUUUAUGUUUGAAUCUAGAAUUUACUAAACUUCACGUACUUGGAAUUUCAUUGCAUUAUAGCUUGACUCAGUAGUAGCUUUAGUGAAAAAUGAUUUUGGUGCUUAAAAUUUUAAGAGUUGGAGUUUGGACAAAUUAUACACUCAUAUAAUUUAGUUAUCUUUUCAAAUUUACAAUUACAAUUUUCAAGGUUCUAUAUUUGUGUUGAUGCACCAAUUAAGAGAAUGAUCAAGAAAAUUAGGUUUUUAAUUGGUUUUUAUCGAUGAUUUCUGAAGAUAUAUUUCGGCAGAUGAACUAAUCCUUCAAUUUAAGAGAUUAAAUUGCCAUUUUACAAAUUUCAAUGAUUAUAUUAUUACCUAAUCUUAAAUAUAAUUUUUAGGGCUAAAACGAUGAUUCACUCAAUAUAUAUUGUGAUUUCUUAUUUUUUUUAUGAUAUAAAGAUAGCUGAAGUUGUGUGAUAUACAAAGUUAUAUUUCCUUUGGAAGAUAAGAGUCCCCCACCAUAUUGACAUGAAAGUGAACGUGGGAAAAUAUGUGCAAUUAAGGUUCCAAAUAUUAAACAAUAGCCACAAUAAUUGUCUAUAACUCAUAACAAAUAUAAGAACUUGAUAAGAAAAAUAAUAAAUAUAAGAACAUGAGCAGGCCAUAGUUUUUUAGCCCGAGAAGCUUCAUCUUCUUUUUAAGUCUAACAUUUUUUAAUCUUCAUUCAAAGAAGAUUGGUGAUUUUGGGAUAUUUUUAUAAGAUAGGUAAAUAAUGAAAUUUGUGUUGUACUCGAAGAAAUCUACCACACGAUUUGAAUGAAUAUAUUACUUUUAGUCAAAAUAAAUUAAAAUAAAGAAUGUAACAUUUCAAACUCACUCACAUAUAAAGAAUGAAUUUACAAUCUUUAAAACACAAAUAUUUAAUCCUUAAAUCUAACACCUCUCUUAGUUUUAGCGAAAUGAACUUUGUGUUGUACUCGAAGAAAUCUACCACACAAUUUGAAUGAAUAUAUUACUUUUAGUCAAAAUAAAUUAAAAUAAAGAAUGUAAAAUUUCAAACUCACAUAAAAAGAAUGAAUUUACAAUCUUUAAAACACAAAUAUUUAAUCCUUAAAACUAACACCUCUCUUACAUUUAUUUUGUUUACGUACCUUUAUUUUGUUUUCAAAUACUUAUAUUUAGUUGAAUUCCUUCAUUAUACUCUUUUUAAUGAAUUUUCUGAACAAAAUAAAAUUGUGUUACUCAGUCACUCAAAUUAGAGUGGAUAGAGCAAUGAAAAUAUUUAUUACUAUGUAGUUUAUAGUUGGAGUGAUCGGAUAGUCUAGUGGGAUCUUAGCCACUCUCGUUUGACUCACUUGGAGCAUGUCAAAAAUAUUUUUUUGAAAAUGAACGAUGGAGAUUUACUUUGCACUAGGUCCAGUGAAAAAGAUAUGGGAGAUAAUCCCAAUCUUAGCUUAUUGGGUAGGCCAGUGUUGAGAAUGGAUUCUCUCAAAUGUAAUUAUCUCACUAGUCUAAUUACCAACACAAUCAAAGAGAAAAAAUAGUGGGAUGUAAGUAAAAAAUCCAUAUUCUACUUACUCAAUCAUCUAUACAAGCUACUUUAAUUAUCUAGUCGAACGUUACGAGCGUUACAAGAGAAAUCAGAAUAUCGAUGAUCAAAAUCCUUCAAAGCAAAAGAUGUUGUUGUGUGCAAGUGUGAGUUAUAUGCCCCACAUCGGAUAAAAGAGUAAAGGUUGAACACCUUAUAAGUAAGAGGACCAUAAACCCAAAGCCUUAAGGUUUUGGGUAAGAGUGUGGUGUCUCCCUUGCUUGUCUGGUUGUUCUAGCCUCGAUGUGGACGCUCCCCCAAGCUCCCCUCGCUGACCCAACAGUGGUAUCAGAACCCCGGUUCGAUGAAGGGUACGACUGAGGCCGCCUGUCAGUUGUGCAGAAAGCAGCAACGACGGUACAAGCAACAAGUGGCUUCUUGUGCAGCAACGGCUAUACAUGCAAAGUAAAAAGCUUCCACGCGGUACAAGCAACAAGUGGCUUCUUGUGCAGCAAUGGCUAUACAUGCAAAGUAAAAAGCUUCCACUCUAGGGGAGCGACUCACGCUUGAGGGGGAGUGCUGUUGUGUGCAAGUGUCUGUUAUAUGUCUCAAAUCGGAUAAAAGAGUAAAGGUUGAACAUCUUAUAAGUUAGAGGACCCAUAAACCCAUAGCCUUAAUACUGUCCUUUUUGCAUAUUUAGCCCCCCCGAAACCAAUUUUAACCAAUUCAACGAUGACGUGGAUGUCACGUGUGUAAUGCUUUAAUUAUUUUAGUUUUAGAUAGAUACAGAGAGAGAGGUGUCAUAUGUCAAAAAAAAAAAAAGAUAGAAAAGAUUUCCUUCCUUGAAUCGUUGAGGUAACUACAAACUAAGACAAUGAUGUUAUUGGUUACUUGUUUCUAAUACCUUUGAAAAAGAUAGUUAGACCAAUGUAUUGGUCAUUAACUCUUUUCAAUGGUUACUACCCUAGUGUCUAAGGUGAGUCAUAACAACGUCAAAGUAAGUACAAUUAUUAUUAAUUUAUGUCUACACCUAAUCAAUAAUUGAAGGUUAAGAUAGGUCAAGCCAACAAAGUUAAGGUUAAGAUAAUCAUUUUCACCUAAAUUGAUUUAUGAACAUAUGUUAAUGAUGACAGUCCGUCAUAUCACAUUUUUAGAGUCUUUUCAAUUAAGUUUUUAUUCUAAUUUUAUUAAUUUAGUACUUAAUUUAGAGUCAUUUUAAAUAAAUUGUCAUUUUCUUAUUAUUGAGUCAACUAGUGUAUUAUUACUAUUAUUAUUGGUCAAUUAGUGGCUAGUAAAGAGAAUGAAACAAAAACAUGGUUUUGUGAUGGAUGUGAUUGGCCAAGAAAAAUGAUAACAAGUUGAACGAAAGAAAAGAAGACCACACAAUGUUGCAUUAGGGUGCAGGAAUCAAAACCAAUAUAAUUGGGCUUUCUUUCAUGGACGUUGAACCAAGAAAAAGAAAAGAAAAGAUAACUUGCUGCAUAAUGUUAAUUUGGAAAGAAAAAUAGGUUUGACAAGCUAUAAAAGGAGACCACGCACAGGAACAAAGCAGACGAUUGGGAAAGAAAGAGCAGCACGCGGUACGAGACAAAAGGAGGAGGAGAAAAGCUCAUGGAAUUUGGAAUAUGCAACAGUACUGAUUAAAUAGAACAAAGCCGGUAGACCAUAAUUCGAUCGGUUUAUUUCUUUUAGUAUGUUGUUUAUUCCUUUAAUAUGUCUAGUUAAUUCCAUUUGAUUGAGUCACGAUGAACCUAUUGUAAUAUAUGAAUCAGUAGUUAAAACUCUUUUUAUUAUCAAUAUUAUUCAGUCUUUAUUCAGAAUUAUCUGUGUUCAUUGCCUUUCAUAUGAUUGUUUGCAUUGUUUGCAUUGUUUGCAUGACUAUUAACCCUAACUUCUUACAAUCACAUAAAUUGAUCUUAGGAAUUGAAUGACUACUAACCCUAACUUUUAAUCCUGAAAUAAUAAUUCUGUUUAAUUCAACAUAGGAACCUAGAGAUAGGAAAUUGAGGAUUAUGACAUAUAACGUUCUAACAUCGCUUCCGCGGUUAUUCAACCAGUUUAAAAGAUUAAAAGGUUAUAACUUAGGAAAUGGUUUUGAGUCAAGAGAUUGAUCAAAACUAAUUAGUUAAUUUGUCGUAAAGAUUGAAUAAGUGUUGAGAGCAAAGAGAGAUAAACUAUUUCACAUAAAACAAUAGAGGAUUUACCGGCUGAUCAUCUGUUUUAAUCCAAUUAUCAAACCAUUUUAUUUUAUGUUAUUUACUUUUUAUUGCACACAAACGUACUGCCUCAUACACUUAUAAAAUUUACACAUCCUAGAUAUUAACUUUAUUGCUAGUUUGAGAUUAACACAGUCCUCGUGGAUACGAACUUAUUUUAUUACUUCGAUAGUUUUAGUACACUUGCUAAAAUAUUUAUGAGUUAACCAAUAAAGAGUAUCAAGAACAACUUUAACCGAAUAAAAUAGAAAAGUAAUUAAAUGAAAUUUAUAGAAUUAUUCAAAGUUACAUAAUCAAACAAUUACGAGGAAGUUCUUAUUUCAUGACCUAACAUAUAUAGUAUUAGCUACUCAUAGAUUUUCUAAACAUAUAUAAAUAGAUAUGAAGAAGAAAGCAUGAGAAAAGGAUCAGCAAGUGAGGAUUAAUUGGCUCCCUAAUGGCCGUGGUCACUCCAAUCCUUCCAAAAUUGUGUUUCUGCCUUCGUCUUCUCGCUAAAAAGUAUUUUCCACUAACUUAGGUUUCAAUAUUUAUAGGUGUGCAUUUCCUUAAGUUUUUGGGAAAUUGGCACACGAUGCGAUCCUAUUCCUCAUGAUGCGAGGAUAACAUAACUAAUCUUGUUGGCCUCACGUUUAUUGUCCCGAUGCAAAGCUCAUGAAGAUUGAUACGAUUCAAGGAAAUGUGAUUUGAUUUAACCAAGCAAAAACCAAGAUCAUAGGAUAACAAUGAUACGAUUCAAAGAAGUGUUAACUUGAUUCACAGUAAUACAAUUCAAAGAAUCAUGAAUCGUUUAAAAAUUUAUGGAAAAUUAGCAGAAACUUUUCAUGAUAAGAUUCAAAAAAGUUUGAAUUGAAUCAAUUGGUUAGAAAAACAUUUUGACCAAGAAAAAUGAAGUUUUCUUUAUACAAACAAAACACAAGACAACAAGGGAUCAUAUGAUUUAUGAGGCAAGAUUUCUAGGUAUGCUUUAACAUGAUAUUAGUCAAUAACAACUAAUAUCUAAACAUCAUCAAAUAAAAACUACCUAAUGAACAUCAUAAAAACACAAACCUAUAACUACACAACUUCAUCCAACUUAUUGGGUGUACCGCAUUAACUAGAUAAUGGUCAUAUCUAUACUAUAUAUAAAGAAAAUAACAUGUUUUUCAAGGUGAGAAAAACACGAGAGGGGGGGGGGGGGGGGGUUGAAUUGUGGUUUCUUUCUCUUCUCCUAAAACCGAAUUCACUAUUCAGAACUUGAUAGAGUUCAGCUUCUGAAGUAGUGUUCAGAGUCUAGUUGCAGCGGAUAAGAAAAGAGAGAGAGAGAGAGAGGCAAGACACAAAGCAACUAUACAGAUUCCUUCCACAAACCGGAACUAGUCAUGUCCCCCUUGCACCUCCAAGAAGAGUUCACUAAAAUCAAUAUUCGAUUACAAUUGCUCAGGGCUCAAAAUAGCAAGAGACUUCAAACUACUCAAGAACAACUACAAGAGAUUUCCUAUGCUCAAGAACAAAAUCAAGAGACUUCCUAUGCUCAAGCACAACUGCAAGAGACUUCAUACAAAUCAGAUAAGACUCUUAAGAUUCUAGAAUUUCUAAAAUAUGAAAGUUGAUAAGAAAUUCUAAGUGAACUUUGAUGUGAAACAUUUUUAGCAGAGUUUUGGCACUUGUAAAAUUGUUGUAAGUCUCUUAGAAAUCUUCAAGUCUUCACUCCUUUAUAUAGAGGUGUGAAAGAGACGUUGUUGAUUUCCAACACAUUAAAAGAGUCGUUAUUGAAGCUUGAUCAAAUUUCAAUUCCAUUCCAAGUAUAGAGGAAUACCAGCGUAGUCACAAUUGUUGUUCUUGUACUAUUGCAGACAGAAAACAGAGUAGUGGAGAAGGUGGUUGUACAAUUGUACUAUUGUCCUUUUCCAAUGUUCUUCAAGGGAUAAGCAUCCAAUGACUUCAAAUUCCUCUUAAUUAGUUGUUGCUCUAGACUUCUAUUCCUUCUGCAAUGAUAGGCAUGAUAAUAACAACUCUUGACAAAUAUUGAAGCUUCCAGUCUUUCAGCUUAUGAUCUUAAACUUCUAACGACGUCAGCUUCUGGUAGUCUCCAGCUUAUGAUAAAAGUGCUUCUGAUGAUGUCAUCUUCAGAACCUCUUUGUCUUCAAAACCUCUUUUCCUUCAGAUGGUUCCUUGCAACUCAAGCUUCCUUUUUUUAAAUUCCAUUGCUCUCAUUUGUUCUUCUAGAACCCAUGCUUCAUUUAAAGACACUCAAAUUUUUGUAUAUGGUCCUGCACACUUGAACAAAUAUUAUCAUAUCCAAUUGAAUUUUUUUAAUACCUUGUUAUCAUCAAAACUUAAAGGGUAAUGUUAAACACAUUUUGUUCCAACAUUUUUGACUCUUUUAGAAUGACUUUUUCUCUUUCCAAAAUUACCAUCAACUUUCAAUACAAAUAACACAUACAACAAGAAUUGUGUUAUUUGAACAUCCAUAUAUGCGACAACUUUUGUGACAACCAAAAUUUUACAAAGAAAAUGAAGUAGUGGCACAAAAACCAAAGCAAUAGAGAGAGAAAGUAAAAAGAUAAUGUGAGUAUGAGAGAGAAAGUUGUCACAAAAGUUGUAAAAAAUAGUUGUUCAAAUAUCAUUUCUCCAUACAACAAAUAGAUGAGAGUAAAUUCAAACAUUAAAAUAAAAUUGUAAUACACACGAUAUGAGUAUAUAUGUCCAGUUUUUUCCUUUAUCAUUUAAAAAAUGUAACAAACAAGAUGAGAAUAUCAGAGAGAUGAGAGAUAGUGACGUGAGACAAGAAAGACCUCUCCGUGGCCCGCCUUUGCUUGAACGGUGGUAACCGCACCAGAAUUUAUCUCCAUUUGAGAGAUACACUAGGGGGUAGGUAUGCAGCCUGGGUGGUAGAAAAUGGGGGGGGGGGGGGGGGGGGUAUGGGUGAUUGGUCUGUAGUUAGGUCACGAAAGAGGAAAGCGACGCAAUCGGAAGAUCGAGGAAGGGACAAGUCAAGGGUUUCAGAGCGACGCGGAGGCACGGUAAGGGUUAGAGGGAUCGCACAUAAUGAUUACGGGUUUGAUGGCAGAGAGGCGCGACAAUCAGCAAGGGCUCUUCAUGAUCAGCAAGGUUUGGGUCGUUAUCAGUUUGGAAACAACGAUUUGGCUUUCGACAGAUGCGGGUCUGAUGCUAUCAUGGGAAAAGGCUUCUUCGACGACAAACAUAACAAUGGUAGUAAAAUUACUUUCUAUUUUGCAAACAUUCCUGAUUAUAUGCCGUUGUUUCGUCUCCGUCAAUACUUUGAAGUGUGUGGUAUUUUGUCUGAUGUCUAUGUUGCCAGACAACUAAAUUCACGUGGUCAGGUCUAUGGCUUCGUUAGAUUUUUGAAUGUGAGGAACAAGGACAAAUUAGCACAAGAUUUGAAUAAUGUAUGGAUUGGUGACUUUAAGGUCUGGGCGCGUGAAGCAAAAUUUGAUAGGUUUGCACAAUAUGAUGAUGAUCAUAGGGUGUCUAUGCAUGGUGAUAGAAGGGAUGAGAAUGGAGGGGAGAGGAGGCCGGUGGUGAGAACUAAUGGUGAUGGAGUAAAAAAUAUGAGGAUGUGUAAUUUUAAAAAAAUAGGAGGGAUAAUAAAAAUAGUUGUUGGUCUCAUUUUAAAAAAAAAUAAAAAAAUUGUUUAUAUAUUUUUGUUAUAUUAUCGGUGUCAAUGAAAUGGAUAAUCAUGGUUAAUUUGAUUUGUUAUAAUUUGAAAGCAACACACAUUUAUAUCUUUAAUUUUAAUCAAAAUCAAAAUGUUAUAAAAAAUACUAUUGCUAAUUUUCAAAUGUUAACACAAUAAAAAGAGCAGAAAGACGGAGUGCCCGUCUUUUCACUAGUUAUAAUAAAAGAAAUUUUAUUUGAUGUAUUGAUAAUGAUACUGAAACUUUUUACACAUACAUCCAAACAUUAUUCAUGACAUCACUUUUAUACAAGUUCUAAAAUAUCGCUGUAACAAAAAGGUUAAAAAACAACUCAUGAAAUAUGUACAUGAUUUAAUUGAAUAUAUGUGUAAAAGAAAUUAUAUAUCAACAUCUAUAAAUUAAAUUUAUUAUUGAAAUGAAAUACUAGUAAAAAUGAUGGCCAGCAUUUAUGAAAAUAAAGGUCUAACUGAUCAUGGGCCAAUUUAAAUCAAAAGUAGAUUUGUGCCCUCUAAAGGGUACUAGAAUAUAAAAGAUGGACGGCAAACAAGGGACACAAAGAAUAGAGAUGCUCAAUUUAAAACACAACUUCGAUUUUUUUUUUAUUUACUAAAAAAUAACUUAGAUUGUUUAGAGAAGAUAGGAAUUCAAUUAGUCUGACAACAUAUUUUGGAAGUACAAUUAGUUUCACAAUUAACUAUUUUGAUAAUCCUCCUUAUUAAAAAAAAAUUAAUAUUCCAUUUCGUCAAAUAAAACAAAAAGUUAGGGAGUGAUGAGAGAUCUUAGUCAAUAUUGUUUUGCACCAUAAUAUUUUUGAGAGAUUGAUUUGGCAUUUACAUGCUUCCAACAAAUACAAUGUAACAAGUGCUUAUAAUUAUAUGAUAUCGUCUCUUAAUAUUGUGACAGCUGAUCACUUAAACACAAUUUGGAACAACGAGGUCCCUCUGAAAGUUAGUCAUUUUACAUGGAGUUUGCUCUGUAGCCGAUUACCAACAACAAAUAAUUUUAUCAGAAGGCACAUUCUUAAUCAUAAUGUUCAACUUUGUGUAGGCUUUUGUGGUAUAAUGUAAGAUAUAGACGAUCUAUUUCUCUCUUGUGAUUUUUUUGAAAUUUUUUAGAUUGGUAUCUAUAAUUGGCUCGGCUUUACUAUGGUACAUCCAGAACAUCCGAAUAACUUUUCAACUCAUAUGGUUAACUUGUGUUUGGGUGAUUUGAUGGGAAAGAAAUGCUUGAAGUUUUCGCAAUCAAGAAGAAUCGUUACAACAUCUUCUUGACAAAAUUAAGCUUCAAUCCUAUUAGUGGUUGAAAGCGAAUAGAAUUUUCGCUCAAUUUUAAUAAAGUGGAUACUAUAUGAGAUUUUCGCUCAAUUUUUUAUGAGUAUGGACUGCACUUGGCGUUAGUCAUUGAACUCAUUUUACGAGACUCAAGUUCCAACUUAAGCCAAAAACUGAAACCAAACAAAUGAAGUAAAAAACUCAAGUUCCAAACUAAUGCGUGAUUUUAGUCAAAACAAUGUUUAUUUUUUGACAGUAGUUAGUUUUGGAUUACAGCUAUAUCCCUACACCCCACAAACUAUACCCCUCUCACCAAUAGACAAAACAAAAGAGUAGGUGGAAGGGUACAUAAUUAAGAAAAAGUUAUGUGAAAAACAAUAUUUUCUAUAGCCAAAACCAAAAGAUAUAUAUUGCAUUAUUGCAUAUAUACCAAUAAAAGAAGUACUGUGAAAUACAAGAUAAUGGCAUUAGAUUAGAAAUGGCCAAUUUGAUCUGUCUAUUUUUAAUCAUAUUAUUUAGAUUUGUUCAAUCUUUUACCAAAUCUUAUUUAGUUAUGCAAAAAGCAACACCUCUCGUUGAAAGAUAAUAAUAACGAUUUUUGGCAUAUGUUACUAAUAUUGAUUGAAAAAUGUUACCAAAUGAUGCAACUUCCCAACUCCAAUCCACUCAUAAUUUCAAACUUCGCUACCAUAUGAAAACAAAAUCACAGGUAGAAAUGUGUUGGAAAUCCUCAACAACUAUUGACUUUUGGUACAAAAGAGUGCCAAGUCAUUACUAAUUCAAGAUUGAGACAUGCAGCUGUGAGUGGAUUCACUAAGAUCACGACUAGUAUAAAAGGAGCUGGUCACACUUGUAUUUUAUGCACCAAAUUAUAAGUCACUAACAUGGCUUCCUCAAACUUUCUAAUGAUGCUCCUCUUUGCUCUCUUUGUCAUCCCUAAGGGGUUUGCCAACUACGAGAAACCUCCAGAGUAUCAUCCACCAGUUGAAAAUCCCCCAUUUUAUAAACCACCGGUAGAGAAACCACCUGUGUAUAAACCACCAAUAGAGCAACCUCCAAUUUAUAAGCCACCUGUAGAAAAUCCUCCAAUUUAUAAACCACCAGUAGAGAAACCACCCGUGUAUAAACCACCGUUUGAGAAACCUCCAAUCUACCAUCCACCAGUAGAGAUACCACCAGUGUACAACCCACCAGUUGAACAUCCUCCAAUUUACAAGCCUCCUGUAUACAAACCACCAGUAGAGCAACCUCCCGUCUAUAAGCCACCAGUAGAGAAGCCUCCAAUUUACAAGCCACCAGUAGAGAAACCUCCUGUUUACCAACCUCCUGUUUACAAGCCCCCAGUUGAGAAACCUCCAGUGUACAAGCCACCUGUAGAAAAGCCACCAGUGUACAAGCCACCUGUAGAAAAGCCACCAGUGUACAAGCCACCUGUAGAAAAGCCUCCUAUAUACAAACCACCAGUAGAGAAACCACCAGUGUACAAACCACCCGUUGAGAAACCCCCGGUUUAUAAGCCACCAGUAGAGAAACCACCUGUGUACAAGCCACCAGUUGAGAAGCCCCCAAUUUACAAGCCACCAGUAGAGAAACCACCUGUAUACAAGCCACCAGUUGAGAAGCCUCCAGCUUACAAGCCACCAGUUGAGAAGCCACCUGUAGAGAAACCACCAGUGUACAAGCCACCGGUUGAGAAGCCCCCAAUUUACAAACCACCAGUUGAGAAGCCUCCAGUGUACAAGCCACCGGUUGAGAAACCACCUGUCUACAAGCCACCUGUAGAAAAUCCACCUGUUUACAAGCCACCAUUUGAGAAACCUCCAAUUUAUAAACCGCCAAUAGAGUAUCCACCCGUGUACAAGCCCCCUUUUGAGAAACCCCCCAUCUACAAGCCACCUGUAGAGAAACCUCCUUUUUACAAGCCUCCGUUUGAGAAUCCACCAUUUUAUAUACCUCCAGUUGAGGAGCCUCCUGUUUACAAGCCUCCAUUCGAGAAGCCACCAAUUUACACUCCUCCAUUCUAGAGCCCACCUUACCACCCAAAGUUCCCUCGGGCAGGCGAUGGUACUCGUUAAUAGAACAUGCUAUGAAGAAAAUAUGUUAAAUAAGAGAUAUAUAGAGUUUUUUAUUUAAUCAAGGAAUAUAUAUAUUCAUGUAAUCUUCAUUUCAAUACUUUGUUUACAAUACUCUUGCUAUGAUAAGAAUAUGAGUGAAAAACAGAGAAAGAAAAUAGUGUGCUUUUCUAUUCGAAAUUAUGAAUAAGAUUUCUAUGAUUUAGAUGUUGUGUUGGUUGACUAAAUCGUGAUACAUCGACAGAGGCAGAGCCCCUCAUGCGCCAAGGUGGGUCAUGGCCCACCCCCAAAUUUUGUUUCUUAUUAUAUAUAUAUUAUGUUUUGUAAAUUUUUGAUGUUUUUGUAGCAUGUUGUAGUGGUUAAGAGCCUUUUUGCCAAGUCGUAUGUGCUAGGUUCAACUCUUGCCAAAACCAUUUUUAUUUAUUCUUUUAUUUUCUUUUGUAUAAAAAAAAAACAUAAUUCAUAAUUGUUAAAAUAAUCCUUUUUUUUGUUACUUAAUCCUUUCUUUCUUUAAUAAAACAUAACUCCUUUAUUCGAUUUAAAAUAAUCUUUCCUUUCCUUACUCUUAUUUUUGGAUACAAUUGUCUCUUUACUCUUUUAUUUUAAUUUUUUUUUUAUACAAAGGGGACUUCAACUCUUUUUUGUCAAAAAACAUUCUCUUUUAAAACAUAUAACAUAUUUUUUAUACUUAGUCGUUUGAUUCAAUUCGAUUUUAUACCUAUACAUCUGUUUAUUGAAGUCGAGUCAUUUAAUUCAGUCGUUAGGUUCAAUGGCCUAGUUGUUCGAUCAAUUAUCUUGAACUUUAUCAAGGUUGAUAAACAGUUCAUAUUUUAAAAUACCGGUUUAAAUUAUAUUCAACAAAUAACAAAUUUAUAGUCAUUGGAACCAACCAAUAAUAAAAUGUACUUGUAAGAAAAUAAAGCCUCAUCACUAUUUAUGGCCCACCCUAUACUUUUUUCCUAGCUCCGCCACUUUACAUCUUCGUAUUCUUUAGGAAGUUUCAACCUUGUUGACUAUGACAACAGUGACGACUAUAACGAGACUCGCUAUUGACUAUGACAACAGUGACGACUAUAACGAGACUCCCUACUUUUUGGUUUGCUUCAACAGGUUCUCAACAUAAAUAACUAACCAAGUUAAUUUGCCUGUGAAAUGUGAUAUUAGUAAGGUGCAUGAAGGUUAAGUUCUUUAGCAAAGCUUAGUAUCUUGAAUUAAAGAAUAUCGUUAAUUAAACUAAAUAUUCAUAUUAGGUAUCACAAUUUUCAAGACUUUAUAUGUACGUGUUGAUCCAUUAAUUAAGAGAAAUUAGACUUUAGACCCGUGCGUCGCACGGGUCAUUUCGACUAAUAUAUAAUAAUAAGUAAUGGUAAAAAAAAUUCUAAAAUAAAUAAAAGAUGAAGAGUAUUAUACAUUUUACUUACUCAAGUUCAAAAAAUAAAGUAGGAGAUGACAUGAAAUCGUUUAGUUGAAACAAACGAAUAUUAAAAAAUAAAAAUUAGACAACGACAGGGAUCUAAAAUUCUAUUUCUAAUCCUUCACAUAUCAAAAUUACAAUUGGUUCUCUUCAUUGUAAUCAUCUAAACUUAAUUAAAAAAUUUACAAGUGCAAAUAGAAUCGACAUUAUACAAGUCACUACUUGAUUCCAAAAACCUAUGUUUCAUGAAAACCACUCAUACCUAAAUAACAAUAAUAAACCUUCAAAACAAAAAUCAACUAUUCUCAAAGGACCCAAAAGAAAGAUUUUUAGCCUUCUAAAUCACAAUUUCUCUUGUUGUAUUGUUUUUGUGUCAAAAGCACCAUAAGUUGAAUAGUAGGCUCAGACACAUGACUUUCCUCAUAAGACAAAAUCACCAGUUUUUUAUAGGUUGAAAAAAUAAAUCAAAUAUCCUUAACUUUCAAUAACGCUUAGAAACAACUGAAACUUUUGCAUUAUCUCAAUCCACAAACAAAAUUGAAGACCUUUAUAUUUGCUUUAGGCACCUUAAGGAAUUCUAUGUAAAUUGUUUUCCUGCAAUGAAAUGCUAAACACAAUGAGCAAAGAAGAAGAAUUAACAACAAUAUUUGGAUUGUUUUAUUUAGCUUACAAUUCUUUAAACUAAUCAANAACACAAUGAGCAAAGAAGAAGAAUUAACAACAAUAUUUGGAUUGUUUUAUUUAGCUUACAAUUCUUUAAACUAAUCAACAAAAAAUUAAAUUUGCAUUAUAUCCUCCACAAUAUCAAGAAUUUUUCAAAGGGAUCAUUCUAUUUGUAUGGCUAUGAUGAGAACUCAUGUGUGUCCAUGAAGACCAGCUCUACGGAUAACCAUGUUCAUAUUAACUAUUUUAGGAGUGAAAAUAGGAUUGGAUUGGAUUUAGUAGUGAGCUGUUGUUUUUGAUUUCAGAAGCAUUUGAAAAUAACAUUUUGAUUAAAUGGAAAUAAUAGGAAGAAUUUGUUAAUAAAAGUGAUUUUUUUUUUUUUUUUUAUGUUGAUCUUUUUAUUGUUGUGUUAGAAACAAAAUAGGACGAAAUUGUAUUUUUUUUUUUAUGUUUAUCUUUUUAUUGUUGUGUUGGAAACAAAAUAGGAGGAAAUUGUUAUAGGAAUAGGAGGAACGAUUUUUAAAGUUUAUCUCUUAAUUAAACAGGUUUAAUUGAACACGGGGGUAAUAACGUAAAAGUCAUCAUAAAAUCUAGGUUAAAAUUAGGUUAAAAAUUGGCUUACGGGUUAACUUUUAUAUAUAAAGAAGUCAAGAGAAUCUAGAUCUGUGAAGCCCCGAUACUUCAAAAUGGAUGAUGUAUCGUAUCCGCUGCGUAUUCUGUAUCGAUACCUGCCCGAUACUUCUCAAAUUUAUGAGUUUUAUUUGAUUCUUCGAAUUCGAAUUUUGAGAAUUUUAGGGUUUGAAGGUUGGUGAUGGAGGUGAAUCUGAGUUUAUAUUAAGAAUUGAUGAAGAAUUUAAGGAGAGUGCAGUGAUGGAUAGGUAACUGAGUAUGAAUUGGUAUGCAGUUUGGAAAAACAAAACAAGAGGCAGUAGCAGCACCCCCACCCUUCCUCUACUUCUUCGACAAUAUGAGUGUUAGAUUCAUUUUCCUAGGUGUGAUUUUGAGGCAGAUGAAUAUGUGUGAGAGAUUGUAGAGGAAGAUCUCAGAUAUAGCUUUUAGGGAUGAACAUGAAUGAAUGAAUUUGUAGAUGAAGAUGAAUGUUGUUUGAACAUUUAAUUAAGAAAUUUUUAAUUGUUUUUUGUUUUAAUAUUUGAAAUUAUUAAAUUGUAUUUUGAAAUUCAAAAAACCUGUUUUAAUGACAUGUAAAUGACAUUUUCCAAAUUGGCAAUGCCACAUAGGCAAAAUUUUACCACCUGUGCAUUUUUGGAUGUGAAAAUAGGGGGUAAGACUAAAACUGCAACAAAAAUGAUAAUUGAAAAACAAUUUUAAUCUGUUUUAAAAGGGCAGGACCAAUUUCCUGAGUAGGCCACAACACGAGGACCAAAAGUGUAAUUAAGCCUUAUAUUUAUGUUGAUGUGCUACAAGCUUAUGACUGGUUUCUUUUGUUUGAUAAUAUAUUUGCAUAUUAAAUAAAAUGGUUAUAAUUAUAUUCUACAUUUAAUUAUAUAAUUUUUUUAUUGACGUAUCCCAACCAUAUCGUAUCUUGAUUUUUGAAAUUUUUUCGUAUUGACGUAUCGGUGCAGUAUCGUAUCUCGUAUUCGGGCUUCAUAGAUCUAGACUAUUAAUUUUUUUGAUAAACAAGAUUAUUAUUAUUUUUUGACAAAAACAAAGUGAGAUUCAUUCAUUCAAAUUGAUAGAGUACAUCAGAUACAAACAUUGCUAAAAACGUAAAGGAUAAAUCUAUGAACAAACUCACAACACUAAAGUUCAUACAACAGCAAAAUGUCUACAAAUAAUAUGAUAAAAUCUAAGUCACCAAAAUAUUCAUGCUUCCGGGUAUGCAACGUUGGCGCCCAAAUCAUUGAUUGAAUUUGUAAUUGACUAAUGUCGAUCUUUCAACAUGAACUAAACGAACACCGCGUCAAGACGCGAAAUCAAACAUCACAUAAGACCACUAACAACACAAUGCCACAAUUAGAUGACGAAAUCACAAAAACUCAAAAGGGAAAACUUGAUAUAUGUGAAAACCAUUUGUUUAGAUCGAAAGAAAAGAGAAAAAACGAUGUAGAGGGGUGAUUUUAGGUCAAAAAUGACCUAAAACCAGUUCUUUUUAAUAAACGAAGGAGAAAGAAUGUUUAGAGAGAAGUUGGAGUUUUUUUUUACUUAAAAAAUUAGGAUAAGCAAAAUUAUUAUAGAGGGAUAAAGGGCUCCCCAACCCAUAUACAAAAUGAUGGUUGCAAUGCCAUGUAGAAAAUAAAAAGAUAACAUUGCCUUUCUUUUUACAAUUAAACUAGUUACAAACCCGUGCGUUGCACGGGUUUAAUAACGUAUUUUAUAAAAAAAAAAUCUUUUAAAAGAAAAAUGAGCAAAUUAAUGAAUAUUGCACAAACAUUAUAAAUCUUUAUCAAAAUAUUUAUGAAAGCUUUAUCAAGUCUUUAAUACACAUUAAUAUUUGUGAUGAUUGAUAAAAGAAUUAAAAAGAGUAAAGGGUAUAGAAAUAAAUUUAUUAAAGAAUUAACAAUUUGUUUAAACUUAUUUUUGUUACAAUUUAGACCAAAAAAAAUAUUGGACUUCAUUGAGUUUCUCUAUAAUUUUUUUAUCAGGCUUGAAGUUAUGACUCUGAGUUUGAAAACCGCAAAAUUCACAAAAAUUAUUGAAGAAACACUAUAAACAAAUAAACGGCAUCGUCAAAAAUGAAAUCAUAUUUGGCUAUAGUGAUCAAGCAAACAAAAAAAAAGAAGCAUAUUAAAUACCUAUAAUCAAUGGAUUCUAAUUGCAUAGAGGCGACACUUAUACUUUCUCUAUGUUUGUUCAUCAAUGAGAGUGAUUAUUUUGCGCUUUCCUUUCAGAAUUGUUCUUGACACCUAGUUUGGGAAAUGCUAAACAGGGAAAUAACUGUAAUAUUAAUCUAAUGCAUAUUAACAUGGAUAAGAUGUAUGCGAAUAUAGUUAUAUAUAACUUAUGAAAUGAAGGUAACAUAACUGAUUUUAAGCUAAAGAAAAUGUACCAUGACUUCUAAUUUAUCUUUCUAUUAUCUUCCUAUAAAGUCUAGAGAAAUGCAUGCAUGUGCAUUAUAUGUACCCCGUUGACCAAUUAACAUUUUUGAAACAAAUGAAAAUUAAGCAUCACUCCCGCAUGUGCAUCUAUAGCUAACACCAUUUGACAUUGAUGUCUUCGAACAUUUGGUGCAACUCUCAUAAUACCAUCCAAACUGGUUAGGAUUGAAUUUAGUUGUUUUUCCAAAUAGUGAUGGAGUAUGUAUCCUAACACAAAUUAUGCACGUGAAAUAAAGAAUAGUGCAAUAUGCAUUUUUAAUUUGUGCGUAAAAAAAUUCAAAGCAUGUUUGUGAAAAAAAAAAAAAAAAACAGACCUUGACUAAGUUUAUAGAUUCAUCAAUUGGCCUAACUUGAGACAGAUUGGAAAAAUCGUUCUACGAAGUACUUUUUAAACUUUACUUUUUAAUCUAUCUGAGCUUGAGAAGUGUUAAGUUCACGACAACAAUUCAAGAAACAUGGUCAAUAAACAAUCAAAUCAGAUUGUGAAAUAAUAAGUUACUCUAACACUGUAUUGUGAAAUCAUAAUGCAAACUUACUAAGUCUUAAACUUUUCAACAACCGGAUGAUGUAGGUUGAUGAGCAGCCUCGAACCUGACCAAUUGUUACAUCUAUUUGCGUUGUCAUUGACUACAAAAUAGAAGCAAAGAAUUCAAGGUAAAUAAAUGGUAAAUGAUAAAGCUACAAAGUAUUUUACCCAUAAUGUUACAUCAACUAUAUUCCCAAUGCUCUAAAUCUCUAUAUCGAGUUAUUACAUGAACUCGAUCACCCUAAAUCCGAGAAAGAAACCAAAAAAUAUAAAUAAAUCAAAAUGUAUACUAAUAAGUAACAUUGAUAAAUCAUAAAAGAAAUUACUACAAAUCUUAACUAACUUAUCUAACCUUUGCAUCACAAAUAAUGAGCUUCAUAUGUUGAUUCUCAUUACUACCAGUCACAAUUCAAGAAUCCAGUACUCCAAAUCCUAUUUUCCAAACGUCUAAAUCAUUUUUGAGAUACUUAAUGUAGUCAUAAUCCCUUGACAUUGAAAUUCAUAUAUAGAAAUACAAUAAUACAUCAUUUAAUUUUAUUCCCUUUGUUCAUUCUGAUAUCGAAAGAAGCUAACAUAUUUCUAUGUGAUCAAUUUUUGUAUCAUCAAAUUAACCUGAUCUUAAAUGUACAAAUUUCUAUCAUCAACUUUCUGGACCCCAAUGAUAUGAUCAAAACAAAUUUACACCAAUCAACUUUUUGCACGGCUCAAUGAUAUACGAAAGAAUAAAUAAAAUAUGAAAACUGUUACAGCUUUAGGAUUACUCACAAAAACUAAAAUAAUUGAAAUGCAUCAAUUAUUUUCAACUCCUGUACCAGAAGCUAAAAUAACAAUUGUGUCAAAACCUUACCAUCAGUUAAAAUUCAGUCAUCAUGACCUCUACUAUACUCCACAUAACAAAAGACGAUUUUUCUACAGCCAUGCAACAUAACAAAUUUUGGUACAUAAUCCAAUAACAAUUGGAAAAAAAAAAAAAAAACCCUUAAAAUGCAUAAUCAUGAAAAAAGGAAGAAAACCAUCUAUGAUGAAGCAAAAACUAAAACGGUGUCGAAAAAUGAAGCCCUUAAGCCAUAAAAAUCAGUCAACUCAAGUCAUGCAUGGUCUCAGAACCAUGAAAAAAGAUAGAAAAUGACCUUUUUUUUUUUUGUGGUGGCCGGGGUUUGAACUCCGGACCUUGCAUAUUUUAUGCAUUGUCCUACCAACUAAGCUAAGCUCACGAGGACGAAGAAAAUGACCUCUUAUGAAGAAGAAAGUGAAACAGUGUUCCCGACUGAACUUAGAUACCGUUUGGUCAAGGUUUUUUACAUUAUAAAAGUUACUUCAAAACAAAGUAAAAAUAAAGGCCUUUAUGAAAGAAACUAAAGUUAUUUGGUUUUUUUGUUUUGUUAGUUUUAAAGCUAUUUAAGUUUAAUGUUGUUUGGCAAAAUAUUGUACAAACUUUGAAUUUAUUAUUUUUUAUAUGGUGUCUGGGGUUCGAACUCCGGACUUGGCAUGUAUUUAUGCAUUGUUCCUAUCAACUGAGCUAAACUCAUGAGGACAAAACUUUGAAUUUAUUAUUAAUUAACAUAAUAAAUAAAUAAAAUGUUUAGAAUAAUUUAUGAAGGCUAAAAAUGUUAAAAAAAUAAAAGAUAUUUUUUUUACAAAUACGAUAUUUACUCAAUAACGUUUAUUUUGUGUAACAUGAAUACAAAUUAAUAUCAUCAUAUAAAUAACUUGUUAAAUAUUUGAAUAGGAGAAACAAUUUAAGGAGUCUGGAAUAAUAAUAUAAAUAAUAUCAAAAUAUUUGAUUUUUUCUAUUUCAAUUAUACUCUAUAACAAAUUUCGUUAUAAGAAUACCAUAUUUUUUGUGUCUUUCAAAAAGAUAAGAAUUUAUAUUAUAUGAUAUUAUAUUUGUUACAUUGUUGGUGUCAUGGAAACAGAUAUGUUUAAUUUUUUUGAACAUGAAAAUGAUAUGCAUAGUUUGUUACGAUAUAAAGGUGCAAUAUAUAUAUAUAUAUACACCUUUUUAGGCAUCUAUACCUUUUUUUGAAGAAAAGACAUCUACAAUUUUACUUUUAAUUAAAAUUUAAAUUUUAUAAAAAUAAUCAUACGCAUUAUGCAACGCUAAAAAAAAUUAUACACAUUAGCGUAACAAAAAAACAGACACACAUAAAGAAUUACUCUAAACGCUAAUGUGUAUGUGCGUAUAUAUUUGCGAGGUUGAAGAAAGAAAAUACAAAUAUUUGAUAUCAUUAAAUGACAGCGUGAAUAAAAAUAUUUGUGAAGUUGUGAUGAUUAAACGAUAUUGAAAUUAUAAGUGAUAAAAAGAUAAUAAAAUUCCUUUGAAAAAAAGGUAAUAAAAUUAAAUGGAACCUCCUUAAAAAAAAUUAAAUUGAACGCUUCAAAUUAAAUGGAAGAAAAAAAUAUAUUGAAGUAUAAUAUUAAAAAAUAAAAAAAAAGGUUCCCAACGUGAAUUGAAGAGAGAUGCUUGUGAAAUAAAUUGUCGAGAAGUAGUUUUUUGAAGAAGCAUUCAACAACUUUUGGUCAAAGUUCAUUGCAUUCAAUUUUAUGCAUUAAAAAAGGUACAUUUUUUAGAAAGUACUUAAUUGAUAUUGUAUUUGACCUAACUUCUCCUUAAAAAUAUAGGGAAGUUGAAAAAAAAAACCGGGUCAAACGGUAUCUUAAUUUCCCACAACGGCAGUGUAGAAACAACUGAAUUUGGGAGAAAAAAAUUGGAAAAUAGUUAAAAAUAAAAAAAAUUGAAAAAUAGUUAAAAAAAAUCGGUGAGGUAGCACCUAACCAAACAACACUAAAAAAAAUUAUAUGCAUCAGCGUAACAAAAAAACAGACAGACGGACAUAAAAUAUUACUCUAAACGUUAAUGUGUGUGUAUAUAUUCGCGAGGUUGAAGAAAGGAAAUAAAAAUAUUUGGUAUCAUUAAAUGACAGCGUGAAUAAAAAUAUUUGUGAGGUUGUGAUGAUUAAACAAUAUUGAAAUUAAAAUAAUUAAUAUUGUGUUUGACCCAACUUCUCCUUAAAAAUUUAGAGAAGUUGGAAAAAAGUCGGGUCAAGCGAUACCUUAAUCUCCCACAACGGUAAUGUAGAAGCCACUGAAUUUGGGAGAAAAAAUUGGAAAAUAGUUAAAACUAAAAAAUAAAAAAAUCGGUGAGGUAGCACCCAACCAAGCAACACCAAAAAAAAAUUAUAUGCAUUAUCGUAACAAAAAAAUAGACAAACAGACAUAUAAUAUUACUCGAAACAUUAAUGUGUGUGUAUAUUCGCGAGGUUGAAGAAAGGAAAUAAAAAUAUUUGAUAUCAUUAAAUGACAACGUGAAUAAAUAUAUCUGUGAGGUUGUGAUGAUUAAAUAAUAUUUAAAUUAAAAUAAUUGAUAUUGUGUUUGACCUAACUUCUCCUUAAAAAUGUAGAGAAUUUGGAAAAAAGCCGGGUCAAACGAUACCUUAGUCUCCCACAACGGCAAUGUAGAAGCAACUGAAUUUGGGAGAAAAAAUUGAAAAAUAGUUAAAAACAUAAAAAUUGGAAAAUAGUUAAAAGUUAUUAAAAAUUAGAAAAUAAUUUAAAAAAUUGGUGAGGGGCAAAAUGGGAAAUUUGGCAUAAAAAAGAUGAGGUGGCACCAAACCAAACCCACCAAUUAGAAAAUUACUUAAAUGCCCAUUCCAGGGACAAAAUGGGAAUUUCAUAUGGCAUCAAUUUUAAUAGAGUAUAUAGACCACUCACAUUACACAAAUGUUGAAAUAUAUGAUGCAUAUUACUUUUUAAAUUUUUGGUUUAUAGUUGCAUUUUUUUUAGGGUUAAUAGUGUUUUUCACCCUUGUAAUAUAUGUCAUUUUCGGUUUUCGACCCUAUAAAAUUUUUAGUUUUAUUUUAACCCUCGUAAAAUUUUUAUUUUCCGGAAAAGACCCUUAAUAGGCCAUUCAAAAACCAAAAUUUCUUGAAAAAAAUUCUGAAAAUGGCCUAUUAGGGGUCUUUUCCGGAAAAUAAAAAUUAUACGAGGGACCACCUGUUGAGAAACCACCUGUACACAAGCCACCAGUUGAGAAGCUACCUGUUUACAAGCCACCUGUAGAGAAACCUCCGGUGUACAAGCCACCUGUUGAGAAGCCCCCAGUUUACAAACCUCCAGUAGAGAAGCCUCUAGUGCACAAGCCACCAGUUGAUAAACCACCUGUACACAAGCCACCAGUUGAGAAGCUACCUGUUUACAAGCCACCUGUAGAGAAACCUCCGGUGUACAAGCCACCAGUUGAGAAGCCCCCAGUUCACAAACCUCCAGUAGAGAAGCCUCCAGUUCACAAACCUCAAGUGGAGAAGCCACCUGUAUACAAGCCACCAGUUGAGAAGUUUCCAAUUUACAAACCUCUAGUAGAGAAGCCUCCAGUGCACAAGCCACGAGUUGAGAAACCACCUGUACACAAGCCACCAGUUGAGAAGCUACCUUUUUACAAGCCACCUGCAAAGAAACCUCCGGUGUACAAGCCACCAGUUGAGAAGUCCCCAGUUUACAAACCUCCGUUAGAGAAGCCUCCAGUGCACAAGCCACCGGUUGAGAAACCACCUGUAUACAAGCCACCAAUUGAGAAGCCCCCAGUUCACAAGCCUCCAUUCGAGAAGCCACCGAUUUACACAC
rnacentral:lncRNA from 1 species